rnacentral:rRNA from 1 species
GAUUAGAUACCGUCGUAGUCUUAACCAUAAACUAUGCCGACCGGGGAUUGGAAGAUGUCUUAUCCUGUGUAACAGCAGGAAAACUCCUUCAGUACCUUACGAGAAAUCACAAGUCUUUGGGUUCUGGGGGGAGUAUGGUCGCAAGGCUGAAACUUAAAGGAAUUGACGGAAGGGCACCACCAGGAGUGGAGCCUGCGGCUUAAUUUGACUCAACACGGGAAAACUUACCAGGUCCAGACACAGUUAGGAUUGACAGAUUGAGAGUUCUUUCUUGAUUCUGUGGGUGGUGGUGCAUGGCCGUUCUUAGUUGGUGGAGUGAUUUGUCUGGUUAAUUCCGAUAACGAACGAGACCUCAGCUUAUUAAUUAGUUAUGCAAAUGAUUACAUCCAUUUGAUUGGGAAGGGUUUCUAGUGUAAGCUUGGAGUUUGACUCUGAGAUUGAUUAGAAAAACUUGUUUUUAUUUGUUAGAAUUUGAUUUAUUAAAUUCGUUAAUAACUUCUUAGAGGGACACUUGGUGUUUAACCAAGGGAAGUCUGAGGCAAUAACAGGUCUGUGAUGCCCUUUAGAUGUUCUGGGCUGCACGCGCGCUACACUGAUACGAACAACGAGUACUGAAGCCCUCAUUCGAAAGGAUGGGGUAAACUUAUGAAAUCGUAUCGUGCUGGGGAUCGAUAAUUGCAAUUAUUUUAUCGUGAACGAGGAAUUCCUAGUAAGCGCAAGUCAACAGCUUGCGCUGAUUACGUCCCUGCCCUUUGUACACACCGCCCGUCGCUCCUACCGAUGUUUGGUCCGGUGAAAUCUUAGGAUUCGUAACAUACACUUAUUAUCACUUUCGGGUGAAAAUGAGUUUGUUGUGGAGAAUUUGAGUAAACCUUGCCAAACAGAGGAAGGAGAAGUCGUAACAAGGUAUUCGUAGGUGAACCUGCAGAAGGAUCAAAUCG